rnacentral:rRNA from 1 species
UACGUAGGGUGCAAGCGUUGUCCGGAAUUAUUGGGCGUAAAGAGCUCGUAGGCCGUUUGUCGCGUCUGCUGUGAAAACCCGAGGCUCAACCUCGGGCCUGCAGUGGGUACGGGCAGACUAGAGUGCGGUAGGGGAGAUUGGAAUUCCUGGUGUAGCGGUGGAAUGCGCAGAUAUCAGGAGGAACACCGGUGGCGAAGGCGGGUCUCUGGGCCGUAACUGACGCUGAGGAGCGAAAGCGUGGGGAGCGAACAGG